GCUGAUCAUUUUCCCAGUCUCUAGGGAAGCAACUGCAAUGUGCCAACACACUGUGCAGAAUGGAAAUCUGAUGGUCUGUUCAGUUCUCUCACAAUGGAUUGCCCUUCUCUGUCCCAGAUUGCUGCUCUCUUGUCACCAAAAUAUCACCGUGUCCUGGAGGUCACUAUCUCUUCAUACAGUGAGGGUAUCAGCCGAUUCCUCUGCAACAUUAGACUUGAAGCAUUGAAGCAUUUGCCUUAUUCUCAUCAUUUCCAACUCUCAGAUAUUUGCAUGUUGCACUUGACUGAUUGCUCAUCAGUGUUCCAUAAGGGACCCAAUAGUACAUGCUCAGCAGGCCUUGGUCAAAUAUUGGUAUCCAAAGGCCAGACAUGAAAGAAGAGGCAGAGGAACCUACAGCAGGCAAGACAAGCUUCAGCCUAGAACACGCAGUGGGAAAGUGA
rnacentral:lncRNA from 1 species